UAUCCUUUCCCCCAGCAAAUGUUUCUUCCUCUUCAUCCAUGCUCCACGCCAUUCUUGAAGCUUCCAUGCCAUUUUCUCUUUAUCCACCAUGAAAUCAAGUUUUCUUCACUUUCUUUUCCUUUCUUCUCCAAACUUCUUGAGCACUAAAUUUACAGCCUUUAACUCCAAUUUCCAGCACGUCUAAACCCUAGGAGGAGAAGAAAGAAAAAGAGAAAAAGGAAGAAAAAAGCUUGGUUUUGGUGAUUCAAGCAAGGAACGGUAAGAAUUAUUGUUUUUGGUUUGAGUAGUCUUUGAAAAUGAGUUAGUGACUUAGAGAAAUGUCUUGUGGCAGCAAAGAUUGGCUUGAUUGGAGAAAAAUUGAUAACAUGUAAGCCAAUAAACCCAUGGGUACAUGAAGGUCUCAAAGUGGAAAAGGAAAACUGUAAGCUUAAUACUAUGUUUUAAAGCCUACGGUUAGUUGAAUAUUGUGAGGAAUUAUGGUUGUUGAAAGGAUUUAUUUACCUAAGCUAGUUGAAAAUUAUUAAGAUUGUAUGGCAUGUUGUUUGAAAGAAAUGAAAGAGGAAUAUUGUGGAUGGAGAAUUGAGAAACAAAGUAUUGAAAGUUAGAUAGAUAACGAUGCAUGUAAACUAGGAAAUAAUUGAGUGAAAGUGAGAAUGAUUGUUGCUGCUAUAUAUGUGGAUUAUGUGUGGAAAUAUAAGAUGGAUUUGGGAAGAAAUUAUUUAAAAAGGUUAAAGUAGGCAUGUGACAUCAUAAAUAAGUUAUCGGUGAUAUAAUCUAAGAAAUUUCGUAAGCAAUGGAUAUAAGUUAUUUUGGUAAAAAUCUAUUAAGAUGUGAGUUAAUUGAAGAUGAUUUCAUGAUAGGAUGAAAAAUAUAAAUUUGAGUAAGGAUUAAUUGAUUGAAGUGCUACCCGUAUACAGAUGUAAUUAAAUAUAUUGAGUUCAUAUUAUUGCUAGGAAGUGCAAAGAUAAGGUUAAGAACUGUGGUGGCGUGCCAGAGUAAAUAACGAGGGACCGACCAAUGAAAAUAAUUAGAGACACCUCUGAACAAAUAGCGACUUAAUAUAUCGUUGUUUCCAGGUGAGUGAACUUGCAUUAAAAUCUUUUGGAAUAAAUGAUUAUAUGCUUGAUUGAGCCACUUGAAAUAUUUUGUUGGUUUUUCUUUAAAAAUUGCAUGGGAACAAGCCCUUGAUAAAAUGUUUUGAUAUUAUGAGAUAUGAACAUGAUGAAUUCAUGAGUUUCUACAUUAUGUUGAUGUGUAUAUUAUACAUUAAAUGAUACUUUUGUGUGAUAAUUAUGACCCAGCCAUGUGCGGUGUAGGAGUGCACAUGAGCUGUGCUAACCCGGCCAUGUGCGAUGUAGGAGUGCACAUGAGCUGUGCUUACUUGGCCAUGUGUGGUGUAUGAGUACACAUGAGCUGUGCUGACUCGGCCAUGUGCGUGGUGUAUGAGUGCACAUGUGUUGUGCUGACUCGGCCAUGUGCAGUGUAGUGGUGCACAUGAGCUGUGCUGACCCAGCCAUGUGCGGUGUAAGAGUGCAUAUGAGCUGUGCUGACCCAGCUAUGUGCGGUGUGGUAAUGCACAUAAGCUGAGACAGAGUUGGGGGUGAGGCCGGUGGUCAUAUGUAUGUUUAUAUAUGUUAUAUAUGUUAUAUAUAUAAAGGUUUUGGAAAUUAUAUUGUGGUUGCAUUGAUUUUUGAAUGUUAAAACUUGAGAAAUGGUUUUUGUCACGACUCGGUACUCCCCUCGAGCCCGUGACAACCGUCGCAGUGUCCCGAUAAACACUCAUUACUCGAAAUGCCAACCGGAACCCCGCAAGGCUUUAAUAUCAGUUUCUCAUUUCCCCUAUGAGUAACCAUUGCCAAAUAUCAUGUUCUAAAAGAUUUUAAGCUAUUUUCAACUUAAAACAAUAAAAAAUUGAUUUCUGUCUCAUAGGGGCAUUUUGGUCAUUUUUCCCUGAAAAUUUUGAAAUUAGGUAAAAAUGUAAUACAAGAGUACAAAACACAUAAUUCAGAAUCAAAAAUAAGUUUAAACGUCUAAAACCUUUAUUUAAAAUGAAAUUAUGAUUAUUUAGAUAUAAUAAUAAUAAUAAUAAAAUAUUUAACAAAAUAUUCUAUUUCUUAUAAAACAAUAUUUUUAGAGUUAUACGUAAGUAAUUUUUGUAGCGUAAAAGCAAAAUAAAUUCAUACAUACUGUAAUACAGUAAGCCAGAGUAUUUAAUUUAAUUUACGAUAACAAGGGAGCCCUCGAAUAACCAAAAGUAAGAAAGACUAUGAACUUACAGUUUGGAUGAUGCAAAUCCAAUGAUAGCCCUUGAUGAAAUCAGCUAUCUACAGCCUAUUCUGAGUCUGAAAUGGGUGGAAAGGAGGGUGGUGAGAUUAUAUAAUCCCAGUGAGUAAACAAACAUCAUCCAAAAUAUCUAAAGUCGAGUAAAUGGAGACGAUUAAAAUAUUCCAUCUCAAUAUGUAUUUCAUAACAUAAAUAUUCAUUUCAUAACAUAAAUAUUCAUUUCAUUUAAAUAAUCAAUAUGGCUUAUGAGUAUCUUAAAAGCUUGGCUCUUGCCAAAAUCAUUCUCGGGAAUACCUUGGCUGAGGCAUUUAACCGAGUCUGCCAAGGCUGUUAAAAAGUUUCGUAUACACAUAAACAUAUUUUUAGUUUGAAAAACACAACCAUUCCUUGGCGUUAGCGGAGUUCAUCAUCACGAGGUAGUUCGGCAUGACGUGAACUCUAACCAUACCUCAAGAGAUACCCUACGCGCCUCUCCGACUGAGGUAUGUAUAUAACCGAAUUCCAUGCCCCUCUAAUAGGCUGGUCCACAGAACUCGUCCACUACAACAAGCUAAACCCACCAUACAAUAAAAAUUCAACAGCAUGACAUGACAAUUUUAUCAUUAUCCAGCCUAUCAAGGCAAACAACAAUUUAUAUAUUUUCAACACAAAUACCAAUUCAACCAUUCAUGCCAAUAUUGCCAUAAGCCAAUCAAUUAGAACCAUAAAUUCACAAUACAUCAAAUGGCCUUCAAUUACUCUAUUUUCAAAGCCAUCAUUCAAUUUCAAGACAAUUAAUAACAUAAUUUCAUUUAAACACAUUUUGUUUAUAAAACCUAAAAAUUAACCAUUUAAACUCAUUUUUCAUAAAAUUCACAAAAUUAGAUAAAAAGCACUUUAGAUAAUUAAGAUGAUGUAAGGUUACUCACUAUUUCGGGAGUCGAAUUUUUAGAGUACUCCGACUAUUGAUCCUCGGGUAAUAUUUCUUUGCCCUUAUCGGAGGAUUCACCACCUAAACAUAAUGCAAAAUCAAGCAAUUUACCACAUUGGUGCUAAACCGUUAUAAAGCUAUAUGGAUGAAUGAAAUGGAAUGCAAAUUGUUCAGAUUAUCGUCUAAACAUGGUGUUCUACACAAAUUCAAUUGUGUACCUAAAUAAAACGGUAUUGGCCUAAUUCGAUCUAUCACCCGAUUAAUUGGCCAAUAUGUCCAAUUCAACUCCAAUUAACUCCAUUUUUCUUCGAAUUCUCCAAAUUAUCAAACACAAGUCAAAUAGCAUAAAAUUUAGCAAAAAUUAUCUUCACAUUUUCUUUUGGGAAUUUCGGCCAUGGUGGGUGCAUCAACACUAUGAUUUUUCUUACUCGAUUUUCUCACCGUAAUUCAUCAUUUCCUAACCAAUUCACUUGAAAUAAAAUCAAAUCCACCAUCCACACUCUACAUGGAAAAUUCGGCCAAUGAUGGGCAAUGGAAGAACAUGAAUUUUUCUUACUUGAUUUUCAUGCUACACAUCACUAACUAACUAAAAACACCAAAAUAUCUUAAAAUCUAACCAAAUCAAGCAUCAGAACUCCUCCCCCCAUGUCCGGCCAGCAAGGUUACUCUCAUGCGAACUUGAUUCUCAUCCAUGGAAAAUGAAAAAGAAUGCAUAGGAAUGGUAGAUCACAAGCUAGAAUUGAAAAAUCUUACCUUUUGUCACUUGAUUCUUUGAAUUUUCACACUUUUCCCUUGAAUUUUUUUACCUAGGGUUUGGUUCUUUCUUUUCUUCCUUUGUUCUUGCUUUGGCGUGCCAUAUGAAGAGAAAUGGGUUGAUUUAUGUGUUGAUUCUUAAGCCAAAUAUUUAAUGGAUGAAAAUUUGACGCAUGUCACCAUUCCAUUGGUCCAUGUGUCAUACUUACCUAUUAAGUAAUCUCUCUCCACCACUUAAAUUUUCUCAAUUAUCCAUGAUAAUAUUGGGUAAAAUCCAUGUGCUGGACAAGUGUUGGGUGGUGUAAAAUUAGAAUUUUGCCCUUAGGGUGGCUAAAUGACUAUUUUACCCCUAUGCUUGAAAAAAUGUCAAAAUUAAAAUUUUUCACUUCUCAAACUCAAAUUAUACUCCAAAUGAUCAAUCUUAGUCAAAAAUUCAUCCAACACUCACAUCUUAACCUCGGGUAGCAAAAUAACCAUUUUACCCUUAGAUCAUGAAAAUUUCAAUUUGACUCCAAAUUGGUCCUCGAACUCUGAGCCACGAUUUUAAGUCAUUCUAGGGUUUUAAAAUUCUCAAUUUCAUCAUAAAAUCUCUAUUUGAACUAGUUUGAGGCUUAAUUCAACUUAGUUGCACCAUUAGGUACACUACUGACUUUUGACCAUUUUUCAGGGCUUUCUAAGUAUACAAGCAUUCUGUCAAUCACAUGAAUGACAUGGCUAAUAUUUUAUAAGGUCGGACUUGAUAGCACUACCCCCCUUAAAAUAAAAUUUUGACCUCAAAAUUUCACUGAUCGGAUUCGAAGAAAAGAUAUGGAUAUUGGUUUCUCAUCUGGUGCUCGACUUCCCACGUCAUCUCCUCCAUUCGGGCAUUCUUCCACAAUACUUUCACCAUUGGAAUGCUUUUGUUCCUUAGCACUCGAUCCUUUCGAUCUAGAAUACGUACAAGCUGCACCUCGAACUUCAAAUCUUCAUGCAACUCAAUCGGUGGUGUCUCUAGAAUAUGGGAGGGAUCGGGAACAUACUUUUUCAACAUCGAGACGUGGAAGACAUUAUGAAUCCGAUCUAACUCUGGGGGUAAUUCAAGUCUGUAAGCCACUGGCCCAAUCAUUUCAAUGAUACGAAAGGGUCCAAUGUAUCUCGGAUUGAGCUUUCCCCACUUCGCGAAUCGAAUCAUACCUUUCAUUAUCCAAUAAAUACCACAAAUUAUCACAAUAGUGUAAUUAAAUAAGAUUUAAUACUUAGAAUUUUCAAAUUAUUACCUUUCCAAGGAGAAACCUUAAGAAAAACUUUAUCGUUGACUUCAAACACCAAAUCUUUCCUUCGUUUAUCAGAAUAACUCUUCUGCCUAUCUUGAGCUAUCUUUAAUCGCUCUCGGAUAAUCUUAAUAUUGUCAUUAGUCAAGUCAAUCAAUUCCGCAUUAAACAAUUUCCUCUCACCCACUUCAUCCCAACAGAGCAGAGUUUAGCAUUUUCUUCCAUACAGAGCCUCAUAUGGUGCCAUCCUAAUACUAGAUUGAAAACUGUUAUUAUACGCGAACUUCACUAAUGGCAAGUGUCUGUCCCAACUCCUAAUAAAGUCAAUGACACAAGCCCGUAACAUAUCCUCCAAGCUCUGAAUAGUCUUUUCAGAUUGACUAUCAGUGUGCAGAUGAAAGGUAGUACUAAAUCUCAAUUUAGUUUCGAGAGCUUCUUAAAAUUUCAGCCAAAAUUGAGAAGUAAACCGAGGGUCUUGAUCUGACACAAUAGAAACUAGAACUUCGUGUAAUCUCACAAUCUCAUCUAUAUAAAGUUUCGCCAGUUUCUCAAUAGAAUACGUGCUAUGGAUAGCCAAGAAAUGGGGGAACUUAUUCAAUCUAUCCACAAUCACCCAAAUAGCAUCUUUCCCACUCUGUGUCCGUGGCAAACGCAAUACAAAGUCCAUAGUCACAUAUUCCCACUUCCAUUCAGGAAUCGGUAAAGGCUGAAGAGUACCUGAUGGUUUUUUAUGCUUCGCCUUGAUCUGUUGGCAUGUGAGACAUUUGGCUAUAAACUUUGCUAUGUCUCGUUUCAUACCCGACCACCAAUAACUUUUUUUAAUAGUUUGAUACAUCUUGGUGCUUUCGGGAUCUAAAGCAUAAGCGGAAGAAUGAACUUCCUCCAAAAUAACUCGUCUUAACUAAUCAUCCUUAGAGACACAAAUUCGGUCUCUAAGCAUCAAAGUACCAUCAUCACUGAGUCUAAACUCACUAGUUUCUCCAUCUUACAGCUUUUGAACUUUCUGUUUCAACCAAUCAUCAGAUUUCUACAAUUCUCUGAUUUGAUUCAACAAUGAAGGUCUCACAACGAAACUAGCAAGUAGGGUUCCAUUCUCACCAUUAUUCAACUGGACCCCUAGAGACUUCAUCUCAAGUAACAUCAAAAAAUAAGAACUCUGAAGCGUUGCUAACGACGAUGAGGAUUUACGACUUAAGGCAUCUGCUACAACAUUUGCCUUUCUAGGGUGAUAAUCGAUCACUAAGUUGUAAUCCUUGAUCAACUCUAGCCACCGUCUUUGUCUCAAAUUAAGUUCUUUUUGGGUGAGCAAAUAUUUCAAACUUUUAUGAUCAGUAAAAAUUCGACAACGCUCACCAUAUAAAUAAUGCCUCCAAAUCUUCAAUGCAAAGACUACUGUUGCUAAAUCCAAAUCAUGGGUAAGGUAAUUCGUCUCAUACUUCUUCAACUGUCGGGAAGCAUAAGCUAUUACUUUUUCAUCCUGCAUCAAUACGCACCCUAAUCCCAACUUAGAGGCAUCACUGUAUACCACAAAUUUUUCCCACCAACCGAAAGUGUCAGAACGGGAGCGGAGGUUAACCGGUUCUUUAGCUCCUGAAAUUGACUCUCAUAAACAUCAUCCCACUCAAACUUAACUCCUUUACAAGUUAGACGAGUCAAAGGAGCAGCUAUCAAUGAAAAUCCUUGAACAAAUCUUCGAUAAUAAUCGGCUAAGCCAAGGAAAAUGCGAAUCUCAGUUACCGUUCUCGGUUGCUCCCAUUGUAAGAUUGCCUCAAUCUUCUUGGGAUCGACAUAAAUUUCAGCACCGGACACCACAUGUCCCAAGAAAACCACUUCCUUUAACCAGAACUCACAUUUAGAUAAUUUGGCAUAGAGUUGUUUUUCACACAAGGUUUGCAACACAAUACGCAAAUGGGCAGAAUGUUCAUCAUCAUUUUUCGAAUAAACCAGGAUGUCAUCUAUGAAUACUAUCACGAACUUAUCCAAGUAUGGAUGGAACACCUUAUUCAUAAGAUCCAUAAAAGCUGCCAGGGCAUUAGUCAAACUAAACGGCAUCAUCAGAAACUCAUAAUGCCCAUAACGCAUCCUAAAAGCAGUCUUGGGUACAUCCUGCUCUUUAAUCUUCAACUGAUAAUACCCAGACCUCAAAUCAAUCUUAGAAAACACCAUAGCACCUCGCAAUUGAUUAAAAAGAUCAUCGAUCCGGGGUAAAAGGUAUUUAUUCUUGAUGGUCACUCGGUUCAGCUGACUGUAAUUGAUACACAAUCGAAGAGUGACAUCCUUCUUCUUUACAAAUAGGACUGGUGCUCCCCAAGGAGAAGUGUUAAGGCCAAUAAAAUCCUUAUCCACCAAAUCUUGCAGCUGGACUUUUAGUUCCUUUAACUCUGCCGGAGCCAUACUAUAUGAAGGGAUAGAAAUAGGUGCAGUACCCGAAAGUAAUUCAAUAGGGAACUCAAGCUCUCGCUCAGGAGGUAGUCUUGAUAAUUCGUCAGAAAAUACAUCAGGAAACUCACUUACUAUUGGGACAUCCUUUAAUUUAGGUUCCCCUUUUGAAAUAUUGAUCACAUGUGCUAAAUAUGCUGGAUACCCUUUCUGCACCAGUUUCAAAGUUUUGAUGGCCGAGAUUACACAGGACGGUAAUACUCGACGUUUCCUUGCAAAUACAAUCUCUGCUCCCUUCGAAUUUCGAAGAACAACUUCUUUCUUGAAACAAUCCACAUUCACCCGAUGUGCAGUUAACCAGUCCAUACCCAAUAUCAAAUCGAAAUCUUGGAUCUCUAGAGGAAUCAAGUCACCCUUAAGUUCUUCCUCACUAACCAUAACUCCACAAUAUCUAUAACAACUGUUUUUAACUAGCUUUUCUCCUAAAGGGGUGUGAACUACAAUUUUUUCCUCUAAUGGUGACAGGUCUCUAUCAACAAUUGAUGCAAAUGACAUACUCACAUAAGACUUAUCUGAGCCAGAAUCUAUCAAAACAUAAGCAUCUUUAUUAAAUAAAGCCAUAGUACCUGUCACUACUCCAAGUCAAACCCGUGCCUCAUCUUCCGUCACCGCAAAAACUCUUGUCGAAGUAUGAGUCUGUGGUCUCGAAGGUGGAUAUGCCGGGGUGUUACUCUCUACACCAAACUGUAUAGCUACUCCCUCCCUUGGUGGUAACCUAGAAGGAUUUCUCCUCUACAUAUCUAUACGAGCUGGUGGAGAUGAAGCAGUUGCAGUAGCCUAUCUUAGCUGUGGAAAAUCACUCCUAAUGUGGCCCGGCUAACCACAAUGAAAACAUCGUAUUGGUCCCCUACACGGCCCAAAAUGAUUCUUCCCACAUUUUCGGCAUCUAUUAGAACCUCUGGAACUCUUCUUAGAAGUAGUCAUUGUAGAUUUGCUAAAUCUCGGAGGCCUCUGCUAUGUCUGUGAAAAUGAAGGUCGAGGAGAUGUCACUGAAAUAGAGGUAGUACUCCCUGAAACAGAUGAGUCUUUGCCCCUUUUUAGUGGCUGACUAAAAGAUACACUCGGGCUUCUCCUUUUUGCAAACUCAGCUUGCAUUUUCUUAUUUGCAUUUGCAAGCUUCUCGGCCUUUAAAGCCAUAUGUACCACCUCCUUAUGUGGCUCCCUAUCAGUCAUUGUCAUCCGCUCUCUAAUCUCAUUACGGAGCCCUUCCUCAAAAUAACUGGCCCGAUCCUGCUCAGAUUUCACCAGAUCCGGCACAUAUAACAUCAGUUCAUUAAAAUGAGCUUCGUACUCCUCUACAGUUAAAUUCCCCUAUUUCAAACGUAGAAAUUCUCUCUUCUUUUCUUUCUGAUGGAAAUAAGUGAAAUACUAACCAUCAAAUUCUCUUAGAAAGUUUGACCAAAUCGGAGGAGUAGUGGAAUGAGAUUUUACUGAAUUUUACCAUGUACAGGCUCUCUUCUCCAAUAAUCUCGUGGCCACUAUCUACUUCAUGUAAUCAUCCAACCUCAUAUCCGAAAGUUUCUCCAAAACCUGAUUAAUCCAAUCUUUGGCUACGGUUACGUCCAACUCACCCGUAAAAGAAACGUAACCCAGUUUUCUAGCCUCCUUCAGCUUCUUAGAAAUAGAUACAUCCUGUACUAGCGGUGGAACUGGAGGUGGGGGUGGUGGUACUGUAGGAGCAACUGGUGGUACUAUAGGAGGAGCCUGACCAGCUUGAGCUUGGCCAGCAAUAGUAGUAAAGAAGGCUACCAAUGCCUGGACUGCCUCAGGAGACAUGGCAGGAGUACCAGUAGGUGGUGGAGGAUGUGGAGGAGUUUCGGCUUGCUCAACACCAAGUGUUGCCGGAAUGGUGGACGCAGUCGAUUCCUCAUUUACUACAUCUAGCUGACGAUGUUGGGAACGACCUCUUCCCCUCCCAGUCGAUCUAAUGAGAGGUGGGUGUUCCCGUCGAGGAGGCAUAAUAAUCUAUAAGAGGAAACAAGUAAGUUUAGGCAACCUUAAGCUCUAUAUGUAGAUGCAUGUAUUCUAUUCGACCUAUCCUAAUUUAACUUGGGGCCACAUUGACACUGUAAAUUUUUAAAACAACUUUAAAACCAAAAGCUCUGAUACCACUUUACUUGUCAAGACUCGGUACUCCCUUAGAGCCCGUGAUAACCAUCGCGGUGUCCCGAUAGACACGAAUUACCGGGAAUACCAACCAGAACCUCGCAAGGCUUUAAUAUCAGUUUCUCAUUUUCCUUGUGAGUAACCGUUGCCAAAUAUCAUGUUCUAAAGGAUUUUAAGCUAUUUCCAACUUAAAACAAUAAAAAAUUGAUUUCUGUCUCACAGGGGCAUUUUAGUCAUUUUCCAUAAAAAUUUCGAAACUAGGUAAAAAUGUAGUACACGAGUACAAAACACAUAAUUCAUAUAAAAAAUAAGUUUAAACUUCUAAAACCUUCAUUUAAAAUGAAAUUAUGAUUAUUUGGAUAUAAUAAUAAAAAAUAAAAAAAAUAAAAAUAUUUAAUAAAAUAUUCUAUUUCUUAUAAAACAAUAUUUUUAGAGUUAUAUGUAAGUAAUUUUUGUAGCGUAAAAGCAAAAUAAAUUCAUACAUAUUGUAAUAAAGUAAGCUAGGGUAUUUAAUUUAAUUUACAAUAACAAGUGGGCCCCCGGAUAAUCAAAAGUAAGAAAGACUGUGAACCUACAGUUUGGAGGAUGCAAAUCCAAUGGUAGCUUUCGAUGAAAUCAGCUAUCUACAGCCUAUUUUGAGCUUGAAAUGGGUGGAAAGGAGGGUGGUGAGAUUAUAUAAUCCCAGUGAGUAAACAAACAUCAUCCAAAAUAUCUAAAGUCGAGUAAAUAGAGACGAUUAAAAUAUUCCAUCUCAAUAUGUAUUUCAUAACAUAAAUAUUCAUUUCAUUUAAAUAAUCAAUAUGGCUUAUGAGUAUCUUAAAAGCUUGGCUCCUGCCAAAAUCAUUCUCGAGAAUACCUUGGUCGAGGCAUUUAACCGAGUCUGCCAAGGCUGUUAAAAAGUUUCGUAUACACAUAAACAUAUUUUUAGUUUGAAAAACACAACCGUUCCUUGGCGUUAGCAGAGUUCAUCAUCACGAGGUAGUUCAGCGUGACGUAAACUCUAACCAUACCUCAGGAGAUACCCUACGCGCCUCUCCGACCGAGGUACAUAUAUAACCGGAUUUCGUGCCCCUCUAAUAGGUUGGUCCACAGAACCCGCCCACUGCAGCAAGCUAAACCCACCAUACAAUAAAAAUUCAACAGCAUGACAUGGCAAUUUUAUCAUUAUCUAGCUUAUCAAGGCAAACAAUAAUUUAUACAUUUUCAACACAAAUACCAAUUCAGCCAUUCAUGCCAAUAUUGCCAUAAGCCAAUCAAUUAGAACCAUAAAUUCGCAAUACAUCAAAUGGUCUCCAAUUACUCUAUUUUCAAAGCCAUCAUUCAAUUUCAAAACAAUUUAUAAAAUCAUUUCAUUUAAACACAUUUUGUUUAUAAAACCUAAAAAUUAACCAUUUAGACUCAUUUUCCAUAAAAUUCACAAAAUCGGAUAAAAACUACUUUAGAUAAUUAAGAUGAUAGUAAGGUUACUCACUAUUUCGGGAUUCAAAUUUUUAGAGUACUCCGACUAUCGAUCCUCGGGUACAAUUUUUUUGCCCUUAUCGGAGGAUUCACCACCUAAACAUAAUGCAAAAUCAAGCAAUUUACCACAUUGGUGCUAAACCGUUAUAAAACUAUAUGGAUGCAUGAAAUGGAAUGCAAAUUGUUCGGAUUAUCGUCUAAACACAGUGUUCUACACAAAUUCAAUUGUGUAUCUAAAUAAAAUGGUAUUGGCCUAAUUCGAUCUAUCACCCGAUUAAUUGACGAAUAUGUCCAAUUCAACUCCAAUUAACUCCAUUUUUCUUUCAAUUCUCGAAAUUAUCAAACACAAGUCAAAUAGCAUAAAAUUUAGCAAAAAUUAUCUUCACAUUUUCUUUUGGGAAUUUCGGCCAUGGUGGGUGCAUCAACACUAUGAUUUUUCCUACUCGAUUUUCUCAUCGUAAUUCAUCAUUUCCUAACCAAUUCACUUGAAAUAAAAUCAAAUCCACCAUCCACACUCUACAUGGAAAAUUCGACCAAUGAUGGGCAAUGGAAGAACAUGAAUUUUUCUUACUUGAUUUUCAUGCUACACAUCACUAACUAACUAAAAUCACCAAAAUAUCUUAAAAUCUAACCAAAUCAAGCAUCAAAACUCCUCCUCCCAUGUCCGGCCAGCAAGGGUACCCUCAUGCCAACCUGAUUCUCAUCCAUGGAAAAUGAAAAAGAAUGCAUAGGAAAGGUAAAUCACAAGAUAGAAUUGAAAAAUCUUACCUUUUGUCACUUGAUUCUUUGAAUUUUCGCACUUUUCCCUUGAAUUUUUCCACAUAGGGUUUGGUUCUUUCUUUUCUUCCUUUGUUCUUGCUUUGGCCGGCCAUAUGAAGAGAAAUGGACUGAUUUAUGUGCUGAUUUUUAAGCCAAAUAUUUAAUGGAUGAAAAUUUAACACAUGUCACCAUUCCAUUGGUCCAUGUGUCAUACUUACCCAUUAAGUAAUCUCUCUCCACCACUUAAAUUUUCUCAAUUAUCCAUGAUAAUAUUGGGUAAAAUCCAUGUGCUGGACAUGUGUUGGGUGGUGUAAAAUUAGAAUUUUGCCCCUAGGGUGGCAAAAUGACUAUUAUACCUCUAUGCUCGAAAAAAUGUCAAAAUUAAAAUUUUUCACUUCUCAAACUCAAAUUAUACACCAAAUGAUCAAUCUUAGUCAAAAAUUUCAUCCAACACUCACAUCUUAACCUUGGGUAACAAAAUGACUAUUUUACCCCUAGGUCAUGAAAAUUCCAAUUUGACUCCAAAUCGGUCCUCGAACUCCGAAUCACCAUUUUAAGUCAUUCUGGGGUUUCAAAAUUCCUAAUUUCAUCAUAAAAUCUCUAUUUAGACUAGCUCGAGGCUUAAUUCAACUUAGUUGCACCACUAGGUACACUACCGACUUUCGACGAUUUUUCGGGGCUUUCUAAGUAUGCAAGUGUUCUGUCAAUCACAUGAAUGACAUGGCUAAUAUUUUAUAAGGUCGGGCUUGACAAUUUCCACUUGAUUUUCACUGCAGCAAAAACAAAUUUCCAUUAUGACAAGAAAUUGAGUUAAAUUGCAUUGUCUUCAACAUAAAUGCAUCAUGAUUUCUAAAACUUCCCGUAUUGAUGCUUGUUCCCUUCCUAUGUUCACUCAUUGAGUUUGUACUCAUGUUUUUAAAAUUCAUGUUUUAGGUUUCCUGAGUCAUAGGUGAUUGGAUAUUAGAACGAGGUGUUCCUCCCUAUCCAUUGCUCG
rnacentral:lncRNA from 1 species